rnacentral:rRNA from 1 species
GACGAACGCUGGCGGCGUGCUUAACACAUGCAAGUCGAACGGAAAGGCCCUGCUUGCCGGGUACUCGAGUGGCGAACGGGUGAGUAACACGUGGGUGAUCUGCCCUGCACUUCGGGAUAAGCUUGGGAAACUGGUCUAAUACCGGAUAGGAACCAUCUUUAGUGUGGUGGUUGGAAAGUUUUUUCGGUGUAGGAUGAGCUCGCGGCCUAUCAGCUUGUUGGUGGGGUAAUGACCUACCAAGGCGGCGACGGGUAGCCGGCCUGAGAGGGUGUACGGCCACAUUGGGACUGAGAUACGGCCCAGACUCCUACGGGAGGCAGCAGUGGGGAAUAUUGCACAAUGGGCGCAAGCCUGAUGCAGCGACGCCGCGUGGGGGAUGAAGGCCUUCGGGUUGUAAACUCCUUUCGCUAGGGACGAAGCUUUUUGUGACGGUACCUAGAUAAGAAGCACCGGCUAACUACGUG